GAUGAACGCUAGCUACAGGCUUAACACAUGCAAGUCGAGGGGAAACGAUAGAGAAAGCUUGCUUUUUCUAGGCGUCGACCGGCGCACGGGUGAGUAACGCGUAUCCAACCUGCCCAUCACUUGGGGAUAACCUUGCGAAAGUAAGACUAAUACCCAAUGGUAUCUCUAGAAGACAUCUGAAGGAGAUUAAAGAUUUAUCGGUGAUGGAAGGGGAUGCGUCUGAAUAGCUUGUUGGCGGGGUAACGGCACACCAAGGCGACGAUCAGUAGGGGUUCUGGGAGGAAGGUCCCCCAACUUGGAACUGGGACACGGUCCAAACUCCUACGGGAGGCAGCAGUUAGGAAUAUUGGUCAAUGGGCGAGAGCCUGAACCAGCCAAGUAGCGUGCAGGAUGACGGGCCUAUGGGUUGUAAACUGCUUUUAUAAGGGAAUAAAGUGAGUCUCGUGAGGCUUUUUGCAUGUACCUUAUGAAUAAGGACCGGCUAAUUCCGUGCCAGCCGCCGCCGUAA
rnacentral:rRNA from 1 species